UUACCUGUGGCUCAGCUGGUAAAGAAUCCACCUGCAAUGUGGGAGAUCUGGGUUCAAUCCCUGGUUGGGAAG
rnacentral:tRNA from 1 species